CGCAUCUGUGCAUGCAGCAUAUCAAUAAGCGGAGGAAAAGAAACUAACAAGGAUUCCCUUAGUAACGGCGAGUGAAGCGGGAAGAGCUCAAAUUUGAAAUCUUCAAGGUUUUACCUUGACGAAUUGUAGUUUAAAGAAGUGUUUUCUGUUGAAGUUUUGGUAAAAGUUCUUUGGAAUAGGACAUCAUAGAGGGUGAGAAUCCCGUAUUUGACCAUUAUUUUCAGCUGUGUGAUACACUUUCAAAGAGUCGGAUUGUUUGGGAAUGCAGUCCAAAAUGGGUGGUAAAUUUCAUCUAAAGCUAAAUAUUGGCGAGAGACCGAUAGCGAACAAGUACCGUGAGGGAAAGAUGAAAAGAACUUUGAAAGAGAGUUAAACAGUACGUGAAAUUGUCAAAAGGGAAGCGUUUGACACCAGUGUUGUUUUCUCGGAAAUCAAUUAAAAAGAGUUUAGAUUUUGUUGUGUAUUGACCUUAACAGCUUGCAUUUCAAUUUUCUUGCUUUUUUUAAUGCACUUUUCGUUUAACAAGUCAACAUCAGUUUCUUUUGUUGUAAAAAGGUCAUUGGAAGGUGGCUUUCUUUUCGGAGAAAGUGUUUAUAGCCUUUGACUCCUGCAAUCGGAGAGACUGAGGUCUGCAGCGUAGAUCCUUCGGGGUUAGAUACAUUUGUGCUAAGUUAUAGCUUUUUAUAGACAACUUGUUGACUAUGAUUAGUCUUGUAGCUUACUCGCUUAUGCUAUUUUACCUACGCUUAGGAUGUUGAUGUGAUACUGCGAGC
rnacentral:rRNA from 1 species